rnacentral:lncRNA from 1 species
GACAUUGUAAGGAUCAGAUUGUGAAAAAAGAAAGUUUAUAACAGAAAACUAGGAUCUCUCUCUCAAAGCACAUACACAAUAGGCUAAUCAGGAUUUAUGACAGAAUAUACUUCAUUACAAAGUAAAGUUGUUGCAAUUAACAUCUAUUUAAUUCAAUAUCAUCCUUAGACUGCUUAAUCAUUUGUAUGAAUUUCACCCGUUUGAAUAACAUUAGGCACCAAAAGCACUAACAGACGAGUAAACAUACCAGUUAAAUACAGAGAUUUUGUACUGAACCUAGAUAUACAAGGAUCAAAAUCCACCUUCCACCCCUCCAAAUAUUUGCCAUCUUGGCGGGUUCGAUAUAGUGAACUGUCUCCCAGAUUUAAAACAACUUCAUUAAUGGGACAUGAGACUCAGUGAGAUGACGAUUGGAAGAAAAAUUGGCGGUAAUCUGAUUUACUCUGCAUCACAUUUCAGACGAAAAAGUGGACAGAUCUCAGAGACAAUGGAGAGUUCUACUAGAAAAGGAAGAAGUUCCAUCUUUCACGAGAUAUUUGACCCACAACUCCAUCGUUGCUACAUCUGCAGAAAAACCCCUGUCAACCAUUUCACUGACAAGUUGCACGGCUCUAGUACUUUUGUUAUUUCUUAGUAGUCCUUGGAUUAUUGUGUUAUAAUUGACCCCAUCUGGAAAUCAUCCAUUUCCUUCCAUCUCCUUUAGGAGCUGAUAUGCUUCCUCUGUACGUCCUCCUUUGCACAACCCAUGCAUGAGAAUGUUACAUGUCGACAUGUUAGGUUGCAAGCCUCGAGCAUGCAAAGAAUCAAACAGCCCCUUAGCAUCGUCGAGCUUUCCGGCAUUACACAUGCUAUUCAUUAUAAUAUUGUAAGUCACAAUGUUUGGGACGAAUUUGGAACCUUCCAUCUUUUGAAGCAAUGUCAUGGCCUUGUCAAUCUGUCAUGUUUUACACAAGCCAUCCAGGAAAGAAUUCAAGGUAUAAUGAUUUAGAUACAGAUCAUGAGAUCGCAUCUCGUUAAUUAGCUCCCCCGCGGCUUCUAGGUUCCCAACCUGGCAAUAUCCACUUAUGAGAGUGUUGUACGUGAUGACAUCAGGAUUCAAGCCCCUUUCAAGCAUUUCUUGGAACAGUAUUUUUUAUUUGUCAAUUCUUUUCACUUUGCAGUAUCCGUUAAUCAACAUGUUAUAGGUAACAACAUUAGGUGAGCAGCCUCUUUCAACCAUCAAAUUAAGAACCACCAGAGCAUCAUCCAUCCUAUUUUGCAAACAAUAACCGUUCAACAAUGCAUUGUAAGUGACACUAUCAGGCAUUUUACCUAAUUGAAUCAUCCGGUUGAUUAUGGCCUCUGCCUCUACAAGCAUUCCCUCUUUACAAUGUGCAUCCACCAGAAUAUUGAAGGUUUGAACAUUCGGCAUGACUCUGCUUUGCACCAUAUGACUCAGCAGUCUUUGGGACUCUUUCAAUUGGCCGGAAUUGCACACUCCUUGAAUGACAGAGGUAUAAGUAACGACAUCCGGUUCAAUUCCUGCCUCCAUCAUCUUCUCCAUCCAGACCGUCGCAUCUUUCCAUUGGCCUAGCUUGCACAAGUAAUGAACCAAGGAGUUAUAAGUGAAUAUGUCGGGUUGGAUGCCUCCGCUUGUCAUCUCUUUCAACAAUAUGAGAGCAUCUUCCAUCUGGCCUACAUCGCACAGACCGUGGAUCAAGGUGUUAUAAGUAACAACAUUUGGUUUGACGCCUUUCUUGCUCAUAAUGCCGUGGAGUCUCAACGCCUCUGUGAUCAAUCCCUCCUUGCAAAGACCAUCAAUUACUAUGCCGUAUGCAAAGGAACCGAGCCUGCAGCUUCUCUCUUCCCAGUCCCUCAGCAAUUCAAUUGCCAAUCCGGUGUUACCUGCCUUGCAUAACCCCUUGGCAAUUAUCGCAUACGUGGUCUCAUCAGGUUCGGGGCCAUUUCGUCCCAUAUCAUCGAGGAACCUCAAGGCUUGAUCAGUUUUGCCCUGAAUAAAGAGACCGUCAAUCAGGGUGCUCGACGUCACCACAGUGAUGGGAAACCCAAGCUUGAAGAUUCUGCCCAGAAUAGACAAACCCAAAUCAACCCGCCUUAACCGGCAGAAGCAAUUCAUCCAAAUAGUGAGCAACACAACAUCAUCCUCGACCCCCAAAGAAGGCAGCCGCUCAAUCAAGCGGAUGGCAGUCGAGUAGUGCUUCAUCCUCACUAUAGCGCCCAACAGUAGAUUGAAAUCCCUGGAGGAAGGCAAAGGGCUCGCCUUUAUCAUUUUACCGAAGCAACACAGGGCAUCACCGACACUCGUAAACAAACCACCACCAGCUCUGCAAUUUCUCCUCACGUAACUCAAGACCUGGUUGGGAUCGUCUAAAUUAGGGUUAGGGGUCGAGGAAAACCUCCGACGACGGGGAGACGAGAAAGGGAGAUGAGAAGGAUGAGGGAGAUGGAGGAUGGAAUGGGAUGACGACUCGCUGGAGAACGCAGCUGGAGCACGAAGAAGGAGGAAGAUGGAAGAAGCAGGGCAGACAUUCUUUGGCUUCAUCGGUUGAUGAUGAAUCUGAAAGCUGAAAAGCUUCAGCUUAUGGCUCUCUCUCUAUCAAGCUUUCAUAUUCGGGCUUGGCUCUACCGUUUCUUGGUUAUGAUAUCGAACAGAAAGAUGUAGAUCUGGAUAGGACAUGAUUUCAAAUGAUUUCGCAUCAUUAUUUACUGACAAUACGAAUAUUUCUUUUAUCCAUUUUUUUAAUAAGUGAUACAAUUAAUCGCAAAAUCAGAUUUUCAUUUUUUUGUUAGUAGUGACUCAUGCGCACAGUUUUACUUCUCCAACUAAUUGAGAUUUACCAGAUCAUUGAACAUAUUGAUAAACAGUGUGAUAACUUGAUGAGGAGCAUCUAACAAUAUAUUUCAAUCCGCUUAACUUGUAUCUACGACUACGUAUGUUUGUACGGAUGAAUAAAUUAUAGCAUGUAAUGUGGAAUUUAACUCAUUUCAUGUCCCGAUCCAACAAUUGAAAUUUGAUUUAACAAAUAUUUCUGACUCAAUCAUUCCUAAUUUCACUACAAGGCCUUGAGCAUUCUGCUUCAUAAACCGCAAUCCUUCUUAGAAAUAUAAUUGUCCAAGGACCUAAACAAUAAUACCAGAGAUGAUUCACAAGCUAAAAAGAGAGAGAGGGAAACAACAAUCCUUCUUAGAAAUAUAAUUGUCCAAGGACCUAACUAAUAAUGCCGAAGACGAUUCAUGAGCUAGCAAGAGAGAGAGAAAGAGAGAGAGAGAGAGCAUGAGUAGUGAUGGGCUAUGGCGUUAAAAUUUGACGCACAAUCACAAGAAAAUAAAUUAAAAGCGAGAAGGAGAAAUUGAAACACAAAAUUUAUCCCAAAUUGCUCCUAAACUAGGAGUACAUUUAGCAAAUAACUCUACUAUAAUUAGCAUAUUGCAUCUUUAUGUUACAAUUUUCAAUUACAAGAGAAAGAAAUUAUAUAUGCUCGGUAACUAUUCAUGAGCUUAAGCCUAAACUGCUAAUAAAUAUGAACUCAAAUUAUAAAAAUCUCCAAACUCUUGUGUGCAUUCCUGUUAAUUGGGAGUAUGAAUCACUUCCCCAAUAUAUCAUAUAGUAUGGAAGUUGUUGUUAGAGAAGCAAAAGUGGCAAAAAAUAGGGAUGGAUUUGAGUGGGGCAUAGAGCAGGAGAGAAGCAAUGGCGGAUUUAUCUUAUAUCAUCAUUUAGCGACAAUACAAAUAUUUUUUAUAAAUUUUUUUUAUAAAUGAUACAAAUGACCAUUUUCACGAGCUAAACAGAGGGAAAGAACAUGAGCAGUAACGAGCUAUGGUGUAAGGAUUCGACGCACAAUUACAAAAAAAAAAAAAAAAGAGCGAGGAAAAGAAAUUGAAACACAAACCACCGCCCGUGGUGGCCGCAGUGGUUUCGCGCUCUCUCCCCCACCGAGGGGGGAGGGGUUCAAAACUCCGCGUAAGCAUUCGCGCGACUCACCUGUGGCUGAGUCUGUGGUGGUGGCCCAGUUCAUCCCGGGUUUACCUCGCCGGCUGCCAGCUGUUCGGGGGUUCCCGGAUUACCAAAAAGAAAAAACAAGAAUUGAAACACAAGAUUUAUCUUAUAUUGCUAGUCAAGGGGUUGUGCACAUUGGCGACUGCUAUUUUGGGGUUGCUUGAGGUCGCACGACUCAGUCUAGGCCGUUCAACAGCCAGAUCCAGUCGUUGGCCGCCAAUGGCUAAACUUAAAAAAAAAAAAAAUGUAAAAACUUUUUUAACAAAAAAUUAUUAAAAGUCCUUUAUAAAUGUAAUUUUUAUCGAACGAUAUUUAAACCAAAGUGUUUUUUAAUGCACUUUAAAAUUACAAUUCACCAAACACUAUUUACAUUUUGGAAAACCCCUUUGCCCCAAAAGUGUUUGCAUUUUCCCAAGAACAUUUUCUCAAAACCAAACCAAAGGGGACCUAUAUAUACCCAGUAGCUACUCAUGGGCUUAAACCCAUAUUAUCAAUAAAAUACAAGCUUGAACUAUAAAAGCUCCCAAAUCAAGAUUAUGAAUCACGUCCCAAUGUAUAUCACGGAGAAUGUUGUUGGAGAGGCAAAACUAGCAAAAAAUUGGGAUGGAUUUGAGUGGGGCAUAGAGCGGGAGAGAAGCAAUGUGGACGGCAACGAAUACUCCAUUGGUGGACGGCGAUACUAGGACUAGUCAUUGGUGGCUGCGAUCGGCUCGGGCUAGUCAUUGGUGGCUACGAUCGGCGAGAGAGGCAUCAAACGUGAGUGAAUCGAGGGCAACGAGCUUACCCAAAAUGAAAAACAAAAUGAGUUUACUUUCAUUAACAAACUCUAAUUGGUAGUGCCUUAAACAUUUAUCCCAAAGCUUUAGUCUUUUGAAAAAAUAUCCCAAAUUAAUACCUCAUGAUAUAUUUAUCCAAAGUAAUUUCAUCUCACAGAACAUCCCAAAUCGAUAUCCCUCACCCAAAUAUAUGCUAUGUUAAAAUGCAUACAUGUCAACAUAUAUGAAUUUUCCACAUCGGAUCAAUCAUUCUUCACCUCUCAUUCAUCUUAUAGCCAUCUGCCAUUUGUGUUGAUAGGUAUGCAUUACAAAUAGAUUUUUGUUUGAAUACCAAUUUGGGGGUUUUUUUUUUGUGAGAUGAAAUUAAUUUGCAAUAAAUAUGUCAUGUGUUUACUAAUUUGAGAUUUUUUUUUAGUUGUAUUAACCCAAAAAAAAAAAAAACAGAAAAAAGCCAAAAUACCUUGUUAGACUCUUUUUCUUAAAGGACCCUUAGAAUGGACUUUUCUCAAAUUCUUCAUGAAGUGAGCUAUACCCUAUGCUCAUCACCGAUGCUAAAAUAGCUAUCGAACGAGCACUCGAUGGUCACAUGGCCAUCUCCACCAUUGGUUAGGGUUUAAUUUGUCCCAAAACUUCCAUUCCCUCAAAAUUACUCACGUGAAGUCCUAGUAAAUUGCACAAAAUAAGCCCCCCAAAUCCCGGUAAUGUGUCAUUUAAAAGCUUGUUUCAAAUAAUUUCUAAUGGUACAAAUUUUGUUCACUUUUUCAAUUCAAUGAACAACAUAUUGGGUAAAAUUGAUACGAAAAUUGGACAAAAAAGAAGAUCACAUUCAAAAGGCGCCAUAUCUACACUCACUAGGACUAAAUCAUGAUAUUUCACUAAAAGACACUCUGCCAUCCAAAUUAUCAAAUACAAUGAAUAGAAAACAAUCAAUGCUUUAAUAUAGAUGUGGCAUAUUGUUCUUCCAAAAAAAAACAAAUAUUGUCUUCUUCCUCUCUUGCUCUUUUCUCAAGUUGAAUAAUAACAUUUCGUAUGCAAAUACAAAAUAAUUAUCUCUUUUAUCCAACCAAUCUCCUUUUUCGAAGCCAUGAUAACUUGUUUUGAGGAGAGUGGUACUUAUACAUAGGGGUGAGCAAUUCCAGAUUUUGUAGAGGUUCCACCUGGGACAUAGAACCUACCCGCUAAAAUAGAUUCAUUAUAUUUUGGAACCUAAAACUUAUUCCGCAUACCUUAAAACCUGCAAUGUACCUUGUAAUAUGUUCUAAGGUCGGAUCCAAAUUCUACCCAGCUUCCACUCGUAUUAUUAAUUGAACGAUUACAGUGAAUCAUCACUUUUAAUGAUCACUACAUGCUAUUACAAUUCACUUAUCAAAACUUAUAUUUAGAUACACGAAUAAUAUGACACAUUAACAAAGUAAAAGAAUCUCAGUCGUAAAAUAGAAAUUCAGACUAGUGAUUCAAUAGACGCUGUGGAAUAAUGUAGAAUCAUACAAAGACAUAAAUAAAGAAAAAUACAAAAAUUUGUUCUAGCUUCUACCAACCAAGAAACUGGAAUCUGUUAUCAAAAUAAAUUCCUUAAUUUUUUAAACUUGAAACUUACCCUGUAUAUCUUGAAACUUAGAACUGAACAAGUUCCCACUAAUCUGGUUUUUCGGUUCCAGGAUCUACCUUAAAACCAUGCUCACCCCUACUUAUACACAUUGCAUAUUCUCUUAGAAAGAACUUCAAAGAACAUGGGUCGGGUUUAUUGAGUCCAUCGAUUUUGGGUAGACUUGACCUAAUAUCCAAUAGGCUCGGAUUUGAAAACACUAUUGCAUAGAGCAAAAGGUACCACAAUGGUGAUUAGUAGCGAUGGUACUUGUGAGCUGUUUCCAUUAGCAAGAUACAACACUAAAGAAGGGUACAUAGGACCACUUGAUAGAUUUCCUACAAUGCAGCGUCCCUUAAUAGGAUCAUGGCAUAAUUAGGACAUCAAAGGCUAGUUCCAUAUUCUCCGGCACAUGUGCAAGGGAUUUCAAAUUCCAUGAUGCACUUCCAAUCAUUUAUAUGAACAGCAAAGAGAAAAUGCCUAACUAACAUUCUCAAAUUAUAUUUCUUUCUAAAUAUCUGUCAUAAGAACUAGAAAUGCGGAACUGGCCACUGAGGUGCAAAUUACCACCAAUUCACAAGACAACAUAAAACAAGAUGUUGUUUAGGUAUCCACUAGCAGGCUUAGCAUAAAGACCUAUCUCUGAAAUGCUUGCAUGCUAUUAUGAUUGUGUCAGCAAACAAAGAGUUGAGGGUGUAACAAGAGGCAGACUAUCCAAGCAUAUCCUCCUGCCGUACGUGAGACUUAAAAAAAAAAAAAAAAACAGAAAAAAUGUGUUCGAGAGUCAAUUUGGCCUUGUUUAGUAACGCUCCAAAAAGUAUCUAAUUUUAUUUUUCUGUUCUUCGGAACAGAAAAAUAAUUCGUUUGGUAAAUUUUUUGUUCUCGAGAAUAGAUUUAGAACAAAAUCAAAAAGUAAGAACAAAAAUCAUUAAAAGAAGACUGAUAAUUCAGAUUCUUAGUGAUUUACGUUAGAACAAUAUGGAUACAUCUUAAUGGACUGCUAAGUUUUUACACUUAGCUCGGGCUCUCCCAAACCCAUACCAAUUCGCGACUUAAGGUUUAAGUUUUUUAACAUGCAAGAGAUUAUUAACUACACCUAAGUAAAAUAAAGGGAGAUUUAUUUUACUCCUACGAACCAGAGACUAUGGGUACGGGGACUUGGUUACAUUAGACUUCUCUAAUACCCUUUCGGUACCAUUUCUUUUUAAUUUUUCAAAAUUAUUUUUGCAGGCAGCUGAUUUAUUUUAACCUAAAUUACUAUCAUGCAAAUGCGGUGACCACACGGGCACUCAUCCAUUAUUUAAAACAUUCAAAUAAAUAAAUUGCAUCAUACAAAGCAAGCAAUCAUUUUUUUGGAUUUUCUUAAAAAUUGGAGUUCUUUUAUAAAAAUGCAUUUCUAAACUAAAUGACUUAAUCCUAUUAAUAUGCAAAUUCUAAUUAAAUGGGUCUAUUAUGCAAACUAAUUAUUAUGCACCUCAUGACCUAACUUCACUAAUGAACAAAUUCUGAUUAAAUAAUCCUAUUAUGCAAACUAAUUAACAUGCACCUAGUAUUUUUGGUUUUUUUAUAUUGAAAUUCAGAAUUUAUAAAUGUCCUAAUUAAUCUAUCUAAAAAGGAUGAUUUUCUAAUUUAUUCUAGGGAUUAAUUUGACUUAAACCCUAUCCUAUCUUAGAAAACUAUUUUUUUUUAAAAAGAGAUUUGAGAUGUGCGAACAUUAUCUAAAACCUUAUUUUGUAAAAAAUGUUAUUUAAUCAACCCUAACUUAUUUUUACCAAUGCAAUCCUAAAAAAGUAAUCCUAAGGAAAUUCUAAUUUAUUAAACCUACAUGUCUGAUUUACUAAACCUAUGUGCUCAUGCAGAAUUUUUUAUUUUUUAUUUUCUUAUUAUUUUUUAGUGUUUUUCCAAGACAAGCAAUUAUGAAAUAAAACUUACAUCUACACUAUCAAGAUAUUCAACAAAUAAAGAAUUAAAAUAAUCGAAAAAAUAACCUGUUGUCUCACAGGUUAAAUUAACGAUUACUCUAAUCCUAAACAUUACGACAAAAAGUUCAAGAUAAUUAAAAAUCUGAUCCGAAGUCUUACGGAUCAAAUUAAUAAUUAUAAUGAUUUAACAAUUAAAAUUCUACCAAAAUACCCAAAAAUUAAUAUAAUUAAAAAAAUAAUCCGAUGUCUCUCAGAUUAAAUUAAUAAUUAUAAUAAUUCCGGAAAAAAUCCUAGCGGAUAAUGUCUACAAUAUUCAUAAAAUGAACAAACAUCCAAUGUUUCAAUUUAAGCUAUUACAACUAAACAUGAUAAAUAAUAAUAAUAAUAAUAAUAAUAAUAAUAAACUACCUUGACUCUCUUUUUUUAAAAUAAAAAAGGGGUCAGAGCGCGGGCGCUUGGGCAGUGACGAUGCUGGUGCUCAGAGGUGCGGCAGGUGCCACGGACGGUGGCCGGCGUCGGGACUCCGGCGGGAGCAGGCGGACGGCGACAGUGAGGGGCUCGAGCUCGGAGCAGCGGCGGAGGCGGAGCUGGACCGCGGGUCGCUGGGUGGCGACGUCGGCAGCGGUGCGGGGCUCGGCUGGCGUCGGGGCGUCGCGGAUUGCUGGGCGGCGACGGCGUCGAGCUCCGGGGCAGUGGGCGUCGAUCCGGGUAGCAGGGAUCACCGGCGGAGGCGGUGCGGUGGCGCGGCGAGCAGUGGGGGCGGCGCUGGCGUCAGCGAGCGGACCAGCGAGGCGGCGGUGCGGAGGCGCGGCGGAGCUCGGAGAUCGACGGGUGCGUCGCGGGCGGAUCAGGAGUGUUGCAGUGGCGCGGCGUCGGCGAGGGCGGAAGCGCGGUCGUCGGGGCGCCCGGCGUUCGGAGGUGCGGCGAUGGAGCUGCAGAUGCGGGCGAGUCCGGCGGAGUGACAGUGACGUCGUGGGCAGAGGUGCUGUGAUCGGCGGGCAAGUGCUGCAGAUGCUCGAACAGAGGGUGGAGGCGAGCGGCGGGACGUCGUGCAGCUUUGCGGAGAAGGAACCCACGAAGAAGAAGCACAGUGCACGUCUCUUUCUUUUUUCUUUUUUUUUGGUUUCUCUCUCACCUCACGUCUACUCGCACGUAUUCCCUGCUGACUUUUGUACUUUUCUUCAGUCAAAAGGGGCAAACAGCCCCUUUGACCUGACCCAGAAAAUUGAACUCAAAAAGAAAUGAAGGAGAAAACUUCCUUACUUUUGCUUUGAAAAUUUUUCUUGAGUUCACUCUCGAUUUUUUUUUUAAAUCCACCCCUUGCUUACGAAAAAUGAAGCUCUCUUUUAUACUAAUUCCGAAUGGCUGCUUUAUAUGACAUUUUUCAAGUUUCCAUCUUCUGUCGCAUUAAAUCAGAGCUGUAAAUCAUAGCAUGAUUUCGCAAUCAGCCCGAUCCUACUCAGAUUUUUUCCAUUUUGCAAAAUUCUUGCUUCUUAUUUACUUGAUUUUUAAAUUGUUUCUGAAUGCUCAUCAGAAUUUCAAAUUUCCAUGCAUAAUCAAUCAAAUCAAUUUCCCUCAUUUUUUCAUUUUUUCCUUUUAUUUGUUCCAAUGCAAUUUUUAUUUUCUUUAUUUUCCUAGAUUUGCUAAAAAUAGGUGUCAACACAUCUCAAUUUGUGAAUCACUAAAACAAAGGAAAAAAAAAAGGAGCAAUGAAAUUACCUGAUCACAAAACGAUAUGAAGCUAGAUUUUUUAUUAAUCAAGGAAGAAAACUUCAACAUUCAUCCGCGAAAGAAAGUGACACAAGUAGAAAGGCUUCACGUGAAAAUCUGGGCUUUCUAGAUUCUAGAACUAGAACAGAGCAUGUUUGCCAAUUUCUAAGGAAUACCUAUUGACGCAUUGAAGAUAAGAAAAUUUCUUGUGAGCAUGUUUGCCAAGUAUUCAUUGAGAUAAUCGGUAACAUGAUCCAAUGAAUAAAUCUUUUGGCUAUUUCUUUAGAUAUCUCAUGUAUUUCGUGAGCAACAAUGAGUGAUCUCAAGUGAUGCAUGUGAAUGCAACAGUUUACGUAAAUUUGGGAGUACUAGUCAAGCUCAAAAUUGAAUAGUUCAAAUGUUAUGCAAGAUAGGAUGUUUAAAAAAAAAAAAACAGAAACAAGGAUUCAACGAGUAAGCAAAGGAAUCGAGAAUCUCCCUUGAUUAAGUUGUCUAGAGUUAUUGGAGUCAACAAAAGAUAACUCCGGAGAAAUAGAUGAGACAUAAAUGAGAGUACAAGAUGAAAAAGGAUGAGCAACAUAAACGACAUACAAAUGAACAUUAAGAGACAAUUGAAAUGUGAUAAAACCCUCAUUAAUUCCAAAAAAUGAAAAAAUCAGAAUUACCGAUGAUUUGUGAAAGGGAGACAAAUUUGUGUGUUCAAAUUGUACAAUUGUGUGCAACUGUUGUCCAAGUGGUAGAAAAAAGACGUUAGCCAAAGAAAAAGGACAAAUUGCAAACUAAAGAAAUAUUUUGAAUUACUUAAGCAGGUCAAAUUGCUGCGUUGUUAUCAUUCUGAAUACAAACAACUAGAAGCUUUUAAGAUUGUUUAUGCAUUGGUACCAUGGAAGAAAGGUUGAUAUGCUAAUCGUAGGAGAAAACCUAUUGGGCACAACUGUUAUAAAUAGUUAGGACUAGGGCCUAUCAAAGUACAAAGUAGGGUUGAGAAAAAAAUUGAAGGCAUAUCACAUUAUGGAUACUACUUCAAAAGUUGCAAUUAUGCUAAUGCUGUCCCUCUUGAUGUUCAAUGUUAUCAAAGGUGCCCUGCACACCGGUAUAGUUAAUAGGGCUUGCAAUAUCGGCUCCUAUUCGAGCAAUGAUCCUUACGCAAACGGCAUGGCUUACAUUCUUGAGGACAUGGUGACCGUGACACCUAGUGACGAGGACUACAACUACUCUACCACAUCUCCUUAUACCGCAGCAGCCGCCUAUGGUCACGCAACUUGUAGCCAAGCACUUUCUUACAGCAAUUGUGGCAUGUGCAUGGGCUCCGUUAAAUCCCAAAUACUGGCGAUAUGUUCAAACAGUCUUGGCACUCAAGUGAAGCUUGAACAUUGUAGAAUGAGGUAUGAAAACUACUCGUUCAACGGUUACGUAGUGUGGCACCAAAUAGAGAGAACCUUGUUCGAAUGGUAGAAUCCCCAGGACAUGCGUUGUUUAAGUUUGUUGAAAAAUAAGUUCUUUAAUCACGUAUCCUAAUUUCUGUUGUGCGUGGUUAUUUCUACUAUACAUGUUGUCAUGUUUAUUGUGGGAAAUGAUAUCAUAUAUCUUUCCUAUACUUUCUUUGUUAUUUUAAAGUUUUCUAACUUUUUUUCUUUCUAUAUGACGAGAAGACCUAAGCAAGUAGCUAAAAGCUAACGACUAUUAUGAAAAUUCGAACUUGCAUUGUGCAUCUAAGCUACACCCACAUCAUUGGGUUUGUUCCUACGAUACUUAAGAGAGAGUCUUCAAGAGACGGCAGUUGGAGACACGCACAUAAGAGGACUUGCAAGAUAGUGCAAAACCAGAAGCCUAAAUCAAUAGAAGGAAACGCUACCCAAUGGCCAAAAGAAAUGGCCACCGCCUUGCCAAAACCGCUUGUGAAUUUACCAUAUAUGUUGAACUCUAAGCACAACUCCUUGAUGAAAUUCAGAAAGAAAUAACCAUGACUUUGCCCCCAGUUUUUGCAUAAGGAUCGAUACCCAAAAUCAUUAAGGAGGUCAAGAACAUAUUUACAGCACACAAGAUAGACGCCAUGCGAGGAUCCAGUCAUUUCAAUGCAAGAAAAUAUCUCAACGCCAAGAAAAUAUCUCAACGAAGCCAAAUCAGCCAAAUAGAAACUAUGUUAAAUCAGUUACUGAUCAUACGAUAUAAGUGUAUUCAACAUAAACCAAGAUAAGUACAGAGGAUGAGCUAAUGCAUGAAACACAAAAUGGACUCAUCAGCAUAAGAUUGAAGCAAACCAGCGUCUACUAAUGCAGUAGGAGAUACUUAAGAAACCAACCUUCUUUGAAGAUUUAACGAGUCAUCAUAAAAGUGGCCUUGCUUCAGUUGCUAAGCCCAUGAGUCUGCUUUUCUAAAUCAGGAAAUGGACAAAAGAGACAGCCAAGGAGUUGAUCCUCUUGUGAUAUAUGCACAACUUCAAAUUAUUUUUCCUGACUUCAAUUGAUCAUGUCUCCCGCGGGAUCCAAUCGUGAACUUAUCUCAAAGACUGGUCUCCAAAAUGCUUGCACGCUACCAUGAUUGGGUCAGCAGACAAAGAGUAGAGGGCAUGACGAGAGGCAGAUGGUUCAGGCAAGUCCCCCUGUUGUACGUGAGAAACUUAAAAAAAAAAGAGAGAGAGAAAAAUGUGUUCCCGAGAGAGUAAUUAAAACAGAUAAAAAUGCCAAGGAAUGUACCUCCUUUGAGAGCCAACCUAUUGAUCGGCAAAGUAAUUCAAUUGCUGCAGUGGAAAAGACAACGGAAUUUACAUCAUCUGGGCCUGACUGUAAUGAAGUUGAUUGUUGUUCUCAAGACGUCUAGCAUUGGAAAUGUUUGACAAUGGCGUUCAUGUUCACGCAUCAUCAAAUGCUUUUUGGAAAAUCCCUUGCAGUGCAAAGGGUAAGAUACUUCAAGUAGCUUUCAUACACUUGCAGCCACGUUCCCCAGUCAGGAAGCCAUCCCUAUGUUAUUUGCACGUAAGAAGCUGAGCAAAUAAACCAAAUGUGUAAUCGACCUGUGGUGAUAAUCUGAGUACACAGCUCGACCCAAAUAUUCUCCACUACCGAUUCAAAUACCAUCCACUUCGAGGUAUGCCUCUUCUUUGAACUAUCUAUGGUGAAUAGGACAUUGUAAGGAUCAGAUUGUGAAAAAAGAAAGUUUAUAACAGAAAACUAGGAUCUCUCCCUCAAAGCACAUACACAAUAGGCUAAUCAGGAUUUAUGACAUAAUAUACUUCAUUACAAAGUAAAGUUAUUGCUAUUAACAUCUAUUUAAUUCAAUAUCAUCCUUAGACUGCUUAAUCAUUUGUAUGAAUUUCACCUGUUUGAAUAACAUUAGGCACCAAAAGCAC